rnacentral:rRNA from 15 species
AGAGAGUCGGCUUGAUUGGGAAUGCAGGUCAAAAUGGGUGGUAAACUUCAUCUAAAGCUAAAUAUUGGCGAGAGACCGAUAGCGAACAAGUACUGUGAAGGAAAGAUGGAAAGAACUUUGAAAAGAGAGUGAAAAGGGCUUGAAAUUGUUAAGAGGAUAAGUGAUUGGAGCAUAUCAU